GAGGGGGCCCCGCAUUGUAUUAUAAUCUCAUCAUCUUUCUGCACAGACUUGUUGGUUGAACAGGUGGCACCUGGGUGAGGCUCCAUUUGCGGCAGACCGCUUCAGCAACACCUGCCCUGCCUCAGACACCUGUAGUGGCUGAAUUCAUGGAAGACUAGUUCAGGAUUUCAUUGGAUUUUCAAGAAGAGGAUCAUAUUAUCGUCACCCUUCUUCCUGUGAUGAUGUGAGAUGAUAAAAUGCCAACGUGUUCAGAUGAAGUGAAGUGAAUGAAAUGACGAAGGCUGCUACUGACAUUCUGAUGACAGAUAAGAAGGAGGAUUGUUGGCAUCUGGACUGUGGUUGUUUGGGGAACACUGAAACUGCAGAAAACGAAACCAUGGAUAAGGGUCAAAAAAAUUACUCUGAUGUGGAUACUGGCUGGAUGAGUAAAUUGGGCAUCCCUUUCAUGACUUCAGCAUUUUGAUGGUACUACCCUGAUAAAGAAACCAGCUCCUGUCACUUCUGGAAGUUGAACUUUUGAAGUUAGAGAGGACUGUAGUGCAACCUUGGGGAGAGGAGCAAAUGACCUGACUUGGGAAGAACUGGCUUUGGCCCUGUGAGUGCAUGUUUCUCCAGCCAUUAUCUGAAAGGUAAUGCUACCAUUACCAGAACCACACAUUCCUGAAAAGAGCUAACACAUGACCUAUAAUCUGUUUCUGCUGUGAUUGUUUUAAACCCCCAACAGGCACUUCUUUGAGUUCUCUGGCACAUCUUGAACCAGUGGCUUUCUUUGAAUGAAUAUAGUGGCAAUGGAUUCAUUGACUGUACUCAUUGCUGAUCUCUGUGCUAGAAGGUUCUCUAACUUGUGUAUCACCUAUGACCUUAGGGAUGCCAGUGAGUUAUCCUGUGGUAUGUUCAGCCUGGUCAUUGUCCCCUGUCAGUGAGGCAAUCAUAGAGUUCCAUCUGGAUAAAGAUAGAAGCUAUUUUCACCUUGACUUUUGUAUUAAAAAAAAACUUUCAAGGAUAAAGAGAAGUUGUAUUGGCUUUUAAGAGACACAUCUGGUGCUUGGCUGGAGGCCAGAUAUUUCCCCACUUGAGUUUUUAUAUCAUUUCAUAGGUUUCAGUGUUUUAUAAUUACUAUGCAUUUGAUAAAAAUGACUUUUCUAAAGUUUGGGGGAGAGUCUUUUGUUUAGGUACAGCAGAAUAUUUUUCAGCUCAAUACUACAGAUGAUACACCGAAUAUAAGAGAAGUUAAAUUUUUGAUUCAAGGUUGCUAGCUAAUUCUUGGUAGAUUUGGAAUAGAACUAACGUCCUUUUGCCUUUUGUUAGGUACUCUUUCCUUUAUAUCACACUUUUUUAAGGAUGUUUAAUGCAUUUCAAAAUUAAACUAUCAUUUGAAUCUGCUUAAAGAAAUUACUUAUUCUCUAAUAUCCAUUAUCCUCUUAUCUAAUGGUGGAACCCCUAAUUUUAACUUGGGACAUGGCCACUUGGCAUCAGGACUGUGUCCUAGCCUCCCUUUCAGUUGUAGGUAGCUUUGUGACUAAAUAUUCUUCAGUGGAAAAGAAAUGAUGUGUACAACUGCUUGGUCACACCAAAAAGGAACAGCCUUAACCUUACAUUUCCCUUUUCCCGCUCCCACUCACAAGAGUAAUGAUGUGGAUGCCAUUGAAAAGGGCAAAAUCCUAAAUACAGAGAAGUUAGUAGGAACUUGGAUCCCCAAUACUAUGGAACCAUCCUGCCAGCCCCAGUUUGUCUAUAACUAGACUUUUAUGCAAGAGCGAGAAAUGCUUACCUUGUUUUAAUCACUGAUAAUUUAGAUCUCAGUUACAGCAACUAAAAUAUAGUACAAUUUAAUCAUUUGCAAAUUUAAUGUCCCAAGUUAAUAUUUUAUAACCACCAAAUUUAAACACAAUAUAUGAACAUUAAUACUUGUGUAAAUGACUGGGAGUCUUGGAAUUAAAUUGCUAUUAUCAAUUCUUCUGUUGCAACAGUCCUUAAAAUAACAUGCACAGUGUGAAAUCUGAUGUUGUGUCUUUAGCAUUUCCUACUGCUCUCCUCUCAGUUGGCUCCAGGUAUAGACAUGCUCCAUGCUCAUUCCUUGGGGUAUAUGUUGUUUUGUUGCUGCUGUUAGUUCUUGAGUUUUAUCCCUCUUCUGCAAAUCUUUUUGCCUAGAAAUCUACAUAUGUGUCUGUUUUCAAAAGCUUAGCAUUUUGCCCAUUGUACCUUUCCAUUUAAUCCUUCCUUGACCACUUCAAUACAUUCUAUUCUCCAUUGCCUUGGUACCUCCAUCCCCUUUGUACACUUAAUCUUUCUCCACAUAAUUUAUUUCCUCUUUUCCCCCUCCUUACUAUAAUACUAGCCCUAUGAAAGCAAGGACUUUCCCUGUUUAAUCCAUUGCUGUGUCCCCAACACACUGUUUGGCACCUAGAAAUCACUGGAUGAAUGCAUGUUAUGAGAUGUAUGAAUCAACCAUUAAGUGUUUGGAUAGAUAUAAAUGAUGUUAUGAUCUGGUUAAGGGUGAUAAUAUUAUUCUGAUAAGUCAUGUUGUUUUCUGAAAUAUCCAUGAAAGGAAUAUGUUGGCUCUUCUAGAGGUAAAGUCUCAGUGAAGCUAUGACUGAUGAAAAUUUCAUAGACUGGUAGGAAAAGCUCAUCCAUUCACACACAUUAUUGAAUUUCCUUAACAGAUUACUAAUUUCUGAUCUUGAAAUUAUUUGAUAAAAAUCCUAAAAUUUCAAGGAUUUUAGGAAACAGUUUAUCACGUGCAUUCUGCAAUAUAAUUACAUUUUAGUAUUAUAUUUCCUAUCUUCACUUUCCAAAAGUAAGAAUUCUAUGCUAAAUUGGCUGUGAAAAUGAAAGCAAAUGCAGAACAAAUAAGAACAAAUAAUCCUUUCUUGUAAUGCCACUAACCAACGGCUUAACAUUAUAGCAAGAAUACUAUAUUUCAGUUUCAGAACUAUUACCUUACUCUAUUUUUAUAAGUCAAGUUAAAUCCAGCCUGAGGUUAGACUAGAAAUCCAGUAUCAAACAUUUUCAAGAUCCCUUCCUCCAUUCAAAAAUUUUGGGCUUGUGUAUAUCUGGAAAAUCAGAAAUAGGGCUCAUUCCUAGCCUGCAGGCAUUGCAAUCCAUAUCGCCACCAUCGUUGGAUACAUAGUCAGCUCCAUUGCUAGUUUUCUACUACGUCUUGGGCUCUGCAUGUGAUGGUGCUGUCCCUCACAGCCAUGCUCUCUGCUGACAUGGACCCAGUGUCCAUGUCAAAUCCUCUGCUGUCAAAUCCUGGUGUUAAAUUUCCUACUCCAUCAGCACCCAUCACCUUUCCCCCCAGGAACCUUUGUUUCUGCCCAUAAUAAGAACAUUGAAAAUCUUGUCCUCUUUCUUAUCUGCAGGGAGCGACUUAUUUUUUCCAAUAUACGCUAUAAUCUCUGUGUGAGCUGUAAAGUGCUAUGUUGUCACUAUCUAGAGUCUUGAAAACUAAAGGUAUUUAUUUCAGCUCUAAUUAGGACACAAGUUUAAGGAGGUUAAGACUUUUAAGGAGAUAUUUUAGUGUCAGGAAACAUUGUGAAAGACUUUGAAAUGGGCAAACAAGAAUACUAAUUAUUCUAUCUAGAGUACCCUUUUCAACUAUCUCUACCUUUUGUUUCCUCUGACCUAUGUUACAAAACUAUUUUCCGAAAACUGAUUAAGAAUGCAAGUAAUUUCUGUCCACAGAAAUUCAAACAAAUGUGUCAAGUUGAAUGUAAUUGAUUAUUGUCCUAUGUAGAUACUGACUAGUUUUACGUCUAUUUGUAAACUCAUUUCAGAAUUCCUGAUAGCCUAUAUAUGGGA